CCUAUAUGAAGUCGGAAUUGCUAGUAAUCGCGGAUCAGCAUGCCGCGGUGAAUACGCUCCCGGGCCUUGUACACACCGCCCGUCACACCAUGAGAGUCGAUAACACCCGAAGCCUGUAGUCUAACCGUAAGGGGGACGCAGUCGAAGGUGGGAUUGAUAAUUAGGGUGAAGUCGUAACAAGGUACC
rnacentral:rRNA from 1 species